rnacentral:rRNA from 1 species
ACUGGAGUGAGGGGCCUGCGUAGCAUCAGCUAGUUGGUGGGGUAAUGGCCUACCAAGGCGAAGACGCUUAGCUGGUCUGAGAGGAUGAUCAGCCACACUGGGACUGAGACACGGCCCAGACUCCUACGGGAGGCAGCAGUGGGGAAUAUUGGACAAUGGGCGCAAGCCUGAUCCAGCCACGCCGCGUGAGUGAUGAAGGCCUUCGGGUCGUAAAGCUCUGUGGGGAGGGACGAACGGCGCCAUGAAGAGUGGCGAUUGACGGUACCUCCUUAGCAAGCACCGGCUAACUUCGUGCCAGCAGCCGCGGUAAUACGAAGGGUGCAAACGUUGCUCGGAAUCAUUGGGCGUAAAGCGCACGUAGGCGGCUUUCUAAGUCGGAUGUGAAAUCCCUCGGCUUAACCGAGGACGUGCAUCCGAAACUGGGAGGCUUGAGUAUGGAAGAGGGUCGCAGAAUUCCCGGUGUAGAGGUGAAAUUCGUAGAUAUCGGGAGGAAUACCAGUGGCG